UGCGAGUGAAGAGGGAAGAGCUCAUCAUUGGAAUCUGGCAGUGUUGCACUGUCCGAGUUGUAGAUGAGGAGUAGUCCGUCUGGACUGCAUGGCGUCCAAGUACAAUAGGCCGUCAGUGGGACAUCAUAGAGGGUGACAAUCCCGUCCUUGAUGCCAAUGUGCAAGUCCAUUACGAUGGCUAUCUCAGAGAGUCGAGCAGUUUGGGAUUUGCUGCUUAAACAUGGGAGGUAGAUUCCUUCUAAAGCUAAAUACAGGCGAGAGACCGAUAGAGAACAAGUACCGCAAGGGAAAGAUGAAAUAGCACUCUGUGAAGGGAGUCAAAAGGCGUGAAAUUGUUGCGAGAGAAGCGAUUCAAGUCAGCGUAGCUAGGCCCAUCAAGCCUUUUUGCUUUGGACUAGCUUUGCCAGCGGUCUUGUCCCUUAAAAGGGACUUGACUUGUAAUGUGUCCAGCCUGGCGUGCACAGGCAGCCCCUUCUGGGGGCCAGUGGCAUGGCUGGUGGAAUGGCUUGCAAUCGACCCGUCUUGAAACACGGACCAAGGAGUCUAACAUGUAUGCGAGUAUAAGGGUGGCAAACCCGUAUGCGCAAUGAAAGUGAUUUUCGAUGAUUGAGAAUGGCCUGAUGACCA
rnacentral:rRNA from 1 species